rnacentral:rRNA from 1 species
AGCGAACGCUGGCGGCAGGCUUAACACAUGCAGGUCGAGCGGGCCUUUCGGGGUCAGCGGCGGACGGGUGAGUAACGCGUGGGAACGUGCCCUCUGGUUCGGAAUAACUCAGGGAAACUUGAGCUAAUACCGGAUACGCCCUUUUGGGGAAAGGCUUGCUGCCGGAGGAUCGGCCCGCGUCUGAUUAGCUAGUUGGUGAGGUAACGGCUCACCAAGGCGACGAUCAGUAGCUGGUCUGAGAGGAUGAUCAGCCACACUGGGACUGAGACACGGCCCAGACUCCUACGGGAGGCAGCAGUGGGGAAUAUUGGACAAUGGGCGCAAGCCUGAUCCAGCCAUGCCGCGUGAGUGAUGAAGGCCUUAGGGUUGUAAAGCUCUUUUAUCCGGGACGAUAAUGACGGUACCGGAGGAAUAAGCCCCGGCUAACUUCGUG